rnacentral:rRNA from 1 species
GACGAACGCUGGCGGCGUGCCUAAUACAUGCAAGUAGAACGCACAGUUUAUACCGUAGCUUGCUACACCAUAGACUGUGAGUUGCGAACGGGUGAGUAACGCGUAGGUAACCUGCCUGGUAGCGGGGGAUAACUAUUGGAAACGAUAGCUAAUACCGCAUAAUAUUAAUUAUUUCAUGAUAAUUAAUUGAAAGGUGCAAUUGCACCACUACCAGAUGGACCUGCGUUGUAUUAGCUAGUAGGUGAGGUAACGGCUCACCUAGGCGACGAUAAAUAGCCGACCUGAGAGGGUGAUCGGACACACUGGGACUGAGACACGGCCCAGACUCCUACGGGAGGCAGCAGUAGGGAAUCUUCGGCAAUGGACGAAAGUCUGACCGAGCAACGCCGCGUGAGUGAAGAAGGUUUUCGGAUCGUAAAGCUCUGUUGUAAGAGAAGAACGGGUGUGAGAGUGGAAAGUUCACACUGUGACGGUAUCUUACCAGAAAGGGACGGCUAACUACGUG